rfam:Camelus ferus unplaced genomic scaffold scaffold1581, whole genome shotgun sequence.
GAGGGUAUAGCUCAAGUGGUAGAGCGCGUGCUUAGCACACACGAGGUCCGGGGUUCAAUCCCCAGUUCCUCCU